UACACUACAGUAGUUGUACCAAAGAUAGCCGGUGCGCUCUAGCGCUUAAUAUCCUGCUGAGGUGAGCACUAUAUGUUUAUUAUUUGCUUCGCUCUCUUGCUUUGGUAAGAGAUUUUUUUAUGUAAAG
rfam:Clostridiales bacterium KA00274 genomic scaffold Scaffold1, whole genome shotgun sequence.